rnacentral:rRNA from 1 species
UCCGUCGGGUCCGCGCGUUGUCCGGAAUUAUUGGGCGUACAGGGCUCGUAGGCGGUCCGUCACGUCGGGAGUGAAAACUCGGAGCUCAACUCCGAGCCUGCUUCCGAUACGGGCAGACUAGAGGUAGGCAGGGGAGAGCGGAACUCCUGGUGUAGCGGUGGAAUGCGCAGAUAUCAGGAAGAACACCGGUGGCGAAGGCGGCUCUCUGGGCCUUACCUGACGCUGAGGAGCGAAAGCGUGGGUAGCGAACAGG